UCUUUUUCUCUCCUAGCCUUCCAACAUCUGAAGCAGUUCUCUGCUCUCCCAAAUCCCAAUCUCUACACCCUCCCCUAUCUCUCACUCAACUUCACUCUCACCUCAAUCAGAUCAGAAAACAACAUGGUAGGCUUUGAAAUCGGCGCCGUCCCCUUCAACCCCGACAGCUGGGGACCGGUUAAACCCUAGAAGCGCUCUAACCCUGCCGACUCCGCAUUCGACUUCAUUGGCGAUGAUUCCUUCACCGGUAAUGCAGACGACGAUGCCUCCUUCCGCCUCGUCGACGGCAAACUACCUCCCCGCCCCAAAUUUGGACCCAAGUGGCGCUCUUUGAUAAGAAAUUCCUGGUUAUUAUACUUACGUCAUAUGUAUUGCCCGUGACAGCGCCGCCAUUUUCGCCUGGAAAGGGGAGACCCUUCAGUGUAUGAUAUCUUAUCUCUUUAAAGGCAUUUGUAUGAUACCUUAUCUCUAGGGUUUUGCUUGGAAGAAAUUUGAUAAUUAAAUAAUGAUUACUUGUGCUCGUUUGUGUAUUUUUGAAGAUCUAUUUGUGUUUUGUUAUCUCAAUUAUUUGACAUUCAGUUGACAAAUUGUAACUCUGUAAGUAUUUUCUUGACCCACCCAUUGUGUAACAUUUCCUUCUGAAAUUGUUUUCCAUUGUUCAAGUUUGUAUCUUUGAUGAAUUUGAUCAAUUCUAAAAUUAUUAAUGUUUUUGUGGCAUCCAUUAUUGGCCAUAACACUAUCUGUUAUGCUGAUUUAGCCAUUUUCCUAUGCUGAUGGCAGAUACACUGCAGUAACUAUGGAACAAAUUGAAUUGUAAUAUUGGAUUUCAGCAUUAUAAGGGUAAAAGUUUAGUCCUUUUGCUUUCUGUAUCUUCAUAAAAAGUUGUUGCGGCAAAGGAUACAAGAAACUUAAGUAUGCAAUUGGAUUUUUUUUGUAUAUAACAUGAUUUUUAACUGAAUUGCCCAGUGCAAUUGGAUUUAUUUUUGUUUCAUUUCCAGCACAUCUUUUGAUCCAUCUUAUUAUUAUUAUUAAUGCUGUUGUCUGUGCUAGAUAUGGGAAAAAGACUCUUUAAAUUAGCAGUUAAUUUUUUUAUAAUAUAACUUUGUUUUGCAUGCUCAUAUGCAUGAUCCAUCGAAUUUGAACAAAGUCUUAGCAGUUGUAUGUAUAUGUUCUUCUCUGAAAUGUUUGAUUCGAAUGGAUUGAAAAUUUUACCUCAAAUCUCAAUGAAUCUAAAAAGGGUGUGUGGGAUUGCGUUCCUUGAAGAUUGUAGUUUCAUCUUUUGAUUAAAUUAUUAGGUGCAUAUGUGAGUGGGCUACCCACAUGUACACGAGUUUAAUACACAAUUUUAUAAAAUAUGGAUUGUGUUCAACUCAAAUACGCCUUUUAUGUAGGCGUGUUUCAGUUGAAGUAUUUUUCCAAGUUUUUCUUCCAUGUUGUAACUGUCAAAAUACUAGAAUUACAAGUCAUCUCAUUUUUUUUGCAAAAUAAUCCUUUCUGCUGUUAUUUGUGGCAUCAUUUGGUGUAGUUAAGCCACAUGGAUCUUAUUUUUGGUCCUGUACUCAAUCUUGACAUCCAAAGAGAAGAUGAGAGUUAAAAUUACAUGUAACCGGUCUCGUUCUGGCUAUUAGUUGUCCCAAGUGUAAACCAUGGACUUACCUUUUAUCCUCUAUAACAUAUGAUUCUUUGCUCAUGGCAUAUACUACAAUUUUUUUUUGUUGCAGCGGGCUACUCCUAUUGUGCUGGAGGGAUCAUUUGAUUUUUUUAAAGUUUUUCCUAGCAAUGCUUUAGCACUACCUACUAUUCUGCAGCAAUCUUUAUUGGGGAGGUUAAGAAUGUCACUCUGGCUUCAGUUCUCUAAGAUGUGGAACAAAGGGCAAGUUUUACAUAUUAGCAUAAAAAUCUGUGAUAAUAACUGUUCACAAAAUCUCCACAAUCCUCCUCUUAAUACUGACAUAAAUUAAUCAUUUUUUUUAUGGUAAUUGACUUUAACUAUGUGUUCCAGCACACUCUCAUUUUGGGAAUCCCAAAGUUAACUCUCUAGAUCUCCACUGAGGAUUGACUUAUAUGUUUAAAAGUGGACAUAGACAUCUAAAUAAUGAUUUGUAGGUGUACAUUGAAGUUGAUAAGGUCUGCAGUGUUGUAUAUUAGUUUCUUCAUGUUGAUAAAGGAGACUUUUGUUAGACAGUAUUGUUAUCAAAUGACGUU
rnacentral:lncRNA from 1 species